AUUGAACGCUGGCGGCAGGCCUAACACAUGCAAGUCGAACGGUAACAGGAAGCAGCUUGCUGCUUCGCUGAUGAGUGGCGGACGGGUGAGUAAUGUCUGGGAAACUGCCUGAUGGAGGGGGAUAACUACUGGAAACGGUAGCUAAUACCGCAUAACGUCGCAAGACCAAAGAGGGGGACCUUCGGGCCUCUUGCCAUCGGAUGUGCCCAGAUGGGAUUAGCUAGUAGGUGGGGUAACGGCUCACCUAGGCGACGAUCCCUAGCUGGUCUGAGAGGAUGACCAGCCACACUGGAACUGAGACACGGUCCAGACUCCUACGGGAGGCAGCAGUGGGGAAUAUUGCACAAUGGGCGCAAGCCUGAUGCAGCCAUGCCGCGUGUAUGAAGGAGGCCUUCGGGUUGUAAAGUACUUUCAGCGGGGAGGAAGGCGAUAAGGUUAAUAACCUUGUCGAUUGACGUUACCCGCAGAAGAAGCACCGGCUAACUCCGUGCCAGCAGCCGCGGUAA
rnacentral:rRNA from 1 species